rnacentral:SRP_RNA from 12 species
AGCUGGUGUUUGUGGGACCGGAGCGCAGCUGAUCCAAUGCAAUGAGCUUUGCCAAGGAGCUUGCCGGGCAAAGCUGCUGCCAUUCAAACUGUUCCUAACCAGGAAGCUCUGCAGGACCGCCUUACUAAAACAGCGGGGGAAUACAGAGGUUGGAACAGGAGCAGAUA